rnacentral:tRNA from 1 species
GCUAGUGUAGCUUAAUUUAAAGUAUGGCACUGAAGAUGCUAAGAUGAAAAAUAACAUUUUUCCGCAGGCA